UGUUCUGUGGCUUGGUUGUUUAAAGCGCCGGUAUAGUGAAUACGGGUUUGUGAGUUCAAAUCCCACCAGAACGC
rnacentral:tRNA from 1 species